GGGCAAGAAGUUAUGGCCAAUUUAAGUUUUAGUCAAAAAAACACCGUCAUUUUAGUGUUUGGUGCAUUGUGGAGAGGGUCUAUUUAAAAAUUGUCAAAUUCUAGCGAAAGUCCACGAUAGCGACACAUCACGAAGGACCCCAAUUUCUCAAUAGUCAAUUUCCAGUGGCGUAGAACGAUUGUGAUGCGUCGCGCUGAAGUUUGAGGUCCCAACCAGUGGGAUAACGCGAUGGCUCCACAUCGUUGUGACUCUUAGAUUCCCA
rnacentral:lncRNA from 1 species